rnacentral:rRNA from 1 species
AGAAGAUGUCAAGGGCGCACGGCGGAUGCCUUGGCACAGGAAGCCGAAGAAGGACGCGGCAAGCCGCGAUAGUCUGCGGGGAGGGGCAAACACCCUUCGAUCCGCAGGUUUCCGAAUGGGGGAACCCAGCAGGGGUCAUGCCCUGCUACCCCGGGCCGAAUCAAAUAGGCUCGGAGGAGGCAACCCGGGGAACUGAAACAUCUAAGUACCCGGAGGAACAGAAAUCAACCGAGAUUGCGCGAGUAGCGGCGAGCGAAAGCGCACCAGCCCAAACCCAUGCACGUGCAAGCUUGAGGGCGUUGCUGCAUGCGGUGUUGUGGGACCGGCCAUUCCCAGGGCCUCAGACCUGGGACGGAGUUACAAAGCUGCGCGGUAGCGGAACGGCAUGGAAAGGCCGGCCGCAGCGGGUAAGAGCCCCGUACGCGAAACCCCGCAGCCUCCGAGGCCGGCACCCGAGUAGUGCCGGACACGUGAAAUCCGGUACGAAUCCGGGGGGACCACCCUCCAAGGCUGAAUACUCUCCUGUGACCGAUAGCGAACCAGUACCGUGAGGGAAAGGUGAAAAGCACCCCGAGAGGGGAGUGAAACAGUACCUGAAACCGUGCGCCUACAAGCAGUCGGAGCACUCUUGCAGUGUGACGGCGUGCCUUUUGUAGAAUGAGCCAGCGAGUUGCGGUAAGCGGCGAGGUUAAGGUUGGAACCGAGCCGCAGUGAAAGCGAGCCUUUAAGAUGGCGAACAUAGUCGCUUGCCGCAGACGCGAAGCCGGGUGAGCUAUCCAUGGGCAGGCUGAAGCGGGGGUAAGACCCCGUGGAGGGCCGAACCCACUUCGGUUGAAAACGGAGGGGAUGACCCGUGGAUAGGGGUGAAAGGCCAAUCAAACCCGGAGAUAUCUCGUUCUCCCCGAAAUAGCUUUAGGGCUAGCCUCGAUCGUUCAGUGCCGGAGGUAGAGCACUGGAUCUUCUAGGGGGCUUCACCGCCUACCGAAAAGAACCAAACUCCGAAUACCGGCACUUAAGAGAUCGGGAGUCAGAGCAUGUGGGCUAAGCUGUGUGCUCGAGAGGGAAACAGCCCAGACCGCCCGCUAAGGUCCCCAAGUUCAUGCUGAGUGGCAAAGGAUGUGCGUUUGCCUAGACAACCAGGAUGUUGGCUUAGAAGCAGCCAUGCAUUUAAAGAGUGCGUAACAGCUCACUGGUCAAGUGGACAUGCGCCGACAAUUCACGGGGCUAAGCAUGACACCGAAGCGGCGGACUGAUUUAUCAGUGGUAGGGGAGCUUCCCAUGGGGGGCGAAGCCGAGGGGCGACCCUCGGUGGACCGCAUGGGAGUGAGAAUGCUGGCAUGAGUAACGAGAGAGGGGCGAGAAACCCCUCCGCCGUAAGCCUAAGGGUUCCUGGGCAAGGCUAAUCCUCCCAGGGUCAGUCGGGAGCUAAGGCGAGGCCGGAAGGCGUAGCCGAUGCACAACGGGUCGAUAUUCCCGUACCGCUGACGAGCGUUUGACCGACGGGGUGACGGAGAAGGGUAGCCGGGCGGGGUUCUGGACGUCCCCGUGAAAGCGCGUAGGGGGGCUCGCAUGGAAAUCAGCGAGCCACAUGCCCCGAGACGCGAGACGAAGGCAUUAGCCGAAGUCGGCGAGCCCAUGCUUCCGAGAAAAACCUCUAGGGAGCUUUGUCGGCGCCCGUACCAAAACCGACACAGGUAGGCGGGUAGAACAUACCGAGGCGAUCGGGAGAACCAUGGUUAAGGAACUCGGCAUACUGGCUCCGUAACUUCGGGAGAAGGAGCGCCCUUUCCGGUGAAGGCCCUCGCGGCCGGAGCGGGGAGGGGCCGCAGCGAAACGGCCCAAGCGACUGUUUAUCAAAAACACAGGACUCUGCUAAGCCGCAAGGCGACGUAUAGGGUCUGACGCCUGCCCGGUGCUGGAAGGUUACGCGGAUGGGUUAGCGCAAGCGAAGCUCUGAAGCCAAGCCCCAGUAAACGGCGGCCGUAACUAUAACGGUCCUAAGGUAGCGAAAUUCCUUGUCGGGU